rnacentral:rRNA from 1 species
GACAGAGGAGCCAAGCGUUGUCCGGAUUGACUGGGCGUAAAGCGCACGCAGGCGGUCGCGCGCGUGGGGUGUGAAAUCUGGCCGCUUAACGGCCAGGCGCCAUCCCAUACGGCGCGACUGGAGUGAUGCAGAGGUCGAUGGAAUUGCCGGUGUAGUGGUGAAAUGCGUAGAGAUCGGCAGGAACACCCAGGGGGAAACCAGUCGACUGGGCAUCUACUGACGCUGAGGUGCGAGAGCGUGGGGAGCGAACGGG